ACUCUUGGGGCAUUAGACGCCUCCUCAUCCGAGAUGAGAGCGAGAGAGACAGAGCAGGCCGACCUCUCCCCAGCAGCCUGGCCCAUUCCCAUGAUGCCAGGUGAUUAAGGCAGAAUUACCCACAGGCCAAAGGCCUCUCUAGUUCCCCAAACCCCGGAAUAAAGUCUGAAAAACAACGUCAUCCCACAGGAGGCUGGGCAAAUGCCCUCUGGGAAAAAAGGCCCCGAGUACCCAUAAUGCCUCAUUGAACUUCCAUCUUUCAACGAAUUCACUCUGGGGACAGCCAGAAAAAAAUUUCUGGAGGCAAGGGAUGGAGUGUCUUGUUCAUGAAACAGCCAGGAGGACAUUAUCACUGGAUUGAAGAUCACCUGUCUUUGGGCAAAGAAUUUUCUUGGUUAUAAAGGAAUGGCUCUCUGGGGAAAGAACUUCAAGAGAAAAUUUAAGGUCAAUGAGUAUCCAGAGAUAAAAUGAACCAGGUUAUGGACUCAUGAACUUCAAAAGAUGGAGCCUAUGAAAUGCCUACAAUCUCAGAGUAGAUCCAAAAAACUCUCCAUGAGUGACAUCCAUAUGAAGUCAACAUGUAACAAGGAGAUUUUGAACAAAUGGCUGUUGGACAUGUUCAUAAAAAUGGAAGUGUACAAUUCAGGAUCUGGUUGCCGCCACCAGAAAUUACAAAUGCGUUUUUCUUAAGGGGCUCAGACUUACCAAUCAAUUCAGAUUGUGCAAGGAAAUGGCAGAAACUGGGCGAUGCAUUAUUGCAAGUUGCAAAAGAACUGACUACCUAAGCAAGACAUGACUCAGUGGUUACAAUUAUAAACCAGAAACUCAUUAUCUUUCAUCAACUAGCAGGUAAUACAUCUCUAUACUACAAAUACAGACCUCAAAGUAUCCUUGAGAAUUCAACAAAUAAAUUGUGCUGGAAUUAAAGCAAUAUUUCAGAUAAAACUGUCACCCAUAGUUCCAAGAAUAUAUAAUAUUGAUCUAGAAAAAUUUAAGAACAAUGUUUUAAAAUAGAUUUUGCAGUAUCAAAUAUUUACAAUCUUCAAAGCUAUGUGGAAUUAAAAGCUUUCAAAACAGAAAGACCUAGUAAAGAAAUUAAAAUUACGUAGGAACAGGAUGAACUACAUAUCCUUCUUUCUUUCUGGUUAUUAGAGUUGAUCCAAGGAUGUUUUUAAUGAGAGUGCAUAAGAUGAAUUUACAUCCAAAUAUUUUUUACAAAAAGCAUUUACUUUGCUCACCUAUGCAAUAGUCUACAGAACAUUAACUAUAAAAAAGUAAUGAUAACUACUUUUCCCAGGACUAGAUUGAAAAAGAUCAUAAAAAAUAAGAGGAAUAUUAAUUAAUUCUACUACCCCAAGGUAGCUGUUAAAAAAAAAUAAACAUUUCCUUUUCAAAAAAGAAGAGGUGAACUUAUAGGUUAAAAAUUUACAGAAAUAUUUCUCAAGUAAUCCCAGAGAAAUAGUAAAGGCUGGCCAGAGGCAUUUGCUAGUAGACUUAUUGAAUGUAACUGGAUUGGCUCCAAAUGGAGUCUAGGAAACUGCUAAGAUCCAAGAAUGGAAUCAAAAAGCCCUCCUUGGGUGACAUUCACAUGAAUUCGACCAAUAACAAAAAGCACUGAACAUUUAGAUGACUGCAUCAGGUGGAUUUGCUAUCAGAAUAAGAGGAGUUCAGGAGAGCAAUAUAAGAUUACUAACAUUGCGAAAAGACACUACAGAGAGCUCAAAAAGACCUAAUAUAUUGAUCAUGUAGACUUCGCAGAGAAGCAGUAGAAAUUAUUUAGCAGAUUACUGGAGGUUGCAAAUAUAUAGCAACUACCCAAACUCUGAGACUAGAGUCAGUAAGACUCAUCUCCUUGAGUUCAAAAUUGGCCUCAGAUACUUCCCAGCUGUGUGACCCUGGGCAUAUCACUUAACCUUCUUUGCCUCAGUUUCCACAUCUGUAAAAUACACUAGCAAAGGAAAUGGCAAACCACUCCAAUAUCUUUGCCAAGAAAACCCCAAAUGGGCUCAUGAAGAAAUCAAUACCAACAAAACAACCUAGAAAGAUGUAAUCAAAUGUCCAGGAUGAUAUAUCAUGGACAGACUUGAUAAUCUUCAUUAAAAAACAGCAAGAGGGCAGUUUGGUGGCUCAGUGGAUUGAGAGCCAAGCCUAGAGAUGUAAGAUCCUAGGUUCAAAUCUGACCUCAGUCACUUCCUAGCUGGGUGACCCUGGGCAAGUCACUUAACCCCCAUUGCCUAGCCCUGACCACUCUUCUGCCUUGAAGCCAAUACAGAAUAUUGAUUCUAAGAUGGAAGGUAAAGGUUAAAAAAAAAAACAAAACUUCAUACUACAAAUAUAAAUCUCAAAUUAUCCUUGAGAACUCAACAAACAAACUGUAUUAAAACAAAAGCAUUAUCACAAAUAAUUGCCCCAAAUCACCCAGACAUAACAGUGUGACCCAUAAAAAAUUAAGAACAAUAUUUUAAUAGAUGUUGCUGUACUGAACUUUCAUAACCUCUAUACUAUAUUAAAUAAAAGUCUUGUGAAAAUAUAAAAACUAGAUGAACUCAAAAUGUAAGAAUGGGAAAAAGUACAUAUGAUCUCUGCAAUUCUGUCUGCUAUUAGAAUUUUCAUUUCAGUAGGUCAACAGAGGAUGAUCCUGCAUCCCAAAACCUUUAUUCAAUGACAAAAAAAAUCAAUCACUUUAUGCACCAGGACAACUGUUUGCUGAAUACUAAACAUAAAAGAAUAAUACUCACCUGUCCCAAGACUAUUUCUAUCUGAGUUCAUCCAACAUAAAGAUGAAAGUGUAAUCAUAAUUAUAAUAGUGACAGCUCAUAAUUAUAGACUCAUGGAAGGUCAGAACUAGAAGGGGCCUUUGAUAUCACCAAUCUAACCUCAUUUUUACCCAAGAGGAAAGUGAUUCCCUUCCCAAAGAGGGAAAGGGAUUUGUUUAAAAUGAUAAAGCAGAGCCAGGACUCCAUUCUUCUCAUGAAACAAAUAAGGAUAGAAUUGUAGGAGGAGGUAAAAAUCAAGAGGAGGAUGACAUGUGAGGGGACCAUGUUGUCUAGGAUACAGUCUCCACGCUGAUGAGCUAGCUGUGGGACCAAAAGUCGAAUGGGGA